CCUACGGGAGGCAGCAGUGGGGAAUAUUGCACAAUGGGGGAAACCCUGAUGCAGCAACGCCGCGUGAGUGAAGAAGUAUUUCGGUAUGUAAAGCUCUAUCAGCAGGGAAGAAAAUCACAGUACCUGACUAAGAAUCCCCGGCUAACUACGUUCCAGCAGCCGCGGUAAUACGUCGGGGGCAAGCGUUAUCCGGAUUAACUGGGUGUAAAGGGAGCGUAGACGGCUGCGCAAGUCAGAAGUGAAAGCCCGGGGCUCAACCGCGGGACUGCUUUUGAGACUGUGUAGCUAGAGUGCAGGAGAGGUAAGUGGAAUGCAUGGUGUAGCGGUGAAAUGCGUAGAGAUUAGGCGGAACACCGGUGGCGAAGGCGGCUUACUGAACUGCAACUGAUGUUGAGGCGCGAAAGCGUGGGGAGCAAACAGGAUUAGAUACCCGAGUAGUC
rnacentral:rRNA from 1 species